GAUGCGAAGAAAGAACUUGUUUGAACUUGCCCAGGCUUCCGGGAGUGCAAACGUAAGCAAAAAUUUUAUGUCAUUAAGGAAACAGGAAAAAUCUAGUUCAUUGGCAUUGCUGUUUUUGACCGGUGAAUAAGGCACUCGAAAAAACUUCAUAUCAGUGAAAAAAACUACAAAUGGCGUUCAUUGGUGAGACGUUUAUCAAGUAUUAUGUUGCUAUGUCAGUGUUUUGUUUCCAAUUUUCUAAGCCUCAAGUUCGGUUACAAGGCCCGUCAAGCUCCAGUGGUAUUGGUCGUGUUGAGGUAUAUCAUAGUGGACGUUGGGGAACAGUAUGUGAUGAUGCUUGGGGCAUAAGUGAUGCCAAAGUGGUUUGUCGUCAACUUGGAUAUCAAAGAGCGGAUCGAGCUCUGCAAGGACCUGCUGGAGUUCCUGACGGCUCUGGGCAGAUAUGGAUGGAUAAUGUUAAUUGUAACGGUUAUGAGCGGCGUCUAUCCAGUUGUUCCCAUAACGGAUGGGGGAGCCAUAACUGCGGGCAUCAUGAAGACGCUGGAGUAGAGUGUUCAGGAGAUCUCAAUGAGUGUUCACUGGGUUACGACAACUGUGGCAGUAAUUCUCAAUGUAUAAACACUCAAGGGAGUUUUUCAUGCAGAUGUAAUCAAGGUUAUUCAGGAAGUGGCGUUGUUUGUAGAGACAUCGAUGAAUGUUCCCUCUCAACUGAUAACUGUGAUCAAAACUCAGUCUGUACCAAUACUGUUGGAUCUUUCUCAUGCAAUUGCGUGGCUGGCUUUACUGGAAGUGGCGUUGUGUGCAACGAUCUCAACGAAUGUUUACUGGGACUCGACAACUGCGGCAGAAAUUCCCAAUGCACUAAUUCAGUUGGAAGUUAUAUAUGCACGUGUAAGCCUGGUUAUACUGGAAAUGGCUUUGUGUGUACAGAUAUCAAUGAAUGUUUUCUUUCUCUUGACAACUGUGAUCGAAACGCAAUCUGCACUAAUACUGCUGGAUCAUUCCAAUGCAGAUGUUUGACUGGAUAUUCUGGGAACGGAGUUACAUGCAACGACAUCAAUGAGUGUUCACUAUCGAUUGACAACUGUGAUCGAAACUCAAACUGUACCAACACUGAUGGGUCCUUCUUCUGCACUUGCAACAGUGGAUAUACUGGAAAUGGGAUUAGGUGCACAGAUAUUAACGAGUGUUCGCUGACGAUUGAUAAUUGUGAUCGAAACUCAAACUGUACCAACACUUAUGGAUCCUUCUUCUGCACUUGUAACGGUGGAUACACUGGAAAUGGAAUUAGGUGCACAGAUAUCGACGAGUGUUCACUAUCAAUUGACAAUUGUGAUCUAAACUCAAACUGUACCAACACUCAUGGAUCGUUCUUCUGCACAUGUAACAGUGGAUAUUCUGGAAAUGGAAUCAUGUGCACAGAUAUCAAUGAGUGCUCACUUUCGAUUGACAAUUGUGAUCGAAACUCAAACUGUACCAACACUGAUGGAUCCUUCUUCUGCACUUGUAACAGUGGAUAUACUGGAAAUGGAGUUAGAUGCACAGACGUUGACGAGUGUUCACUAUCGAUCGACAAUUGUGAUCGAAACUCAAAUUGUACUAACACUGAUGGAUCCUUCUUCUGCACUUGCAACAGUGGAUACACUGGAAAUGGGGUUAGAUGCACAGACCUCAAUGAGUGUUCACUAUCGAUUGACAAUUGUGAUCGAAACUCAAAUUGUACCAACACUGUUGGAUCCUUCUUCUGCACUUGUAACAGUGGAUAUACUGGAAAUGGAAUUAUAUGCACAGACGUUGACGAGUGUUCACUAUCGAUUGAUAAUUGUGAUCGAAACUCAAACUGUACCAACACUGAUGGAUCCUUCUUCUGCACUUGUAACAUUGGGUACACUGGAAUUGGAAUUAGGUGCACAGACAUUGAUGAAUGUUCACAAAAGAUAGACAAUUGCGAUCAAAACUCAAACUGUACCAACACUGAUGGAUCCUUCUUCUGCACUUGUAACAGUGGAUAUAAUGGAAGUGGAAUUAUAUGCGCAGAUAUCAACGAAUGUUCACUAUUAACUGACAAUUGUGAUCGAAACUCAAACUGUACCAACACUAAUGGAUCCUUCUUCUGCACUUGUGAGAGUGGAUACACUGGAGAUGGAAUUAUCUGCAGGGACAUCAACGAGUGUUCACUAUCGACUGAUAAUUGUGAUCGAAACUCAAACUGUACCAACACUGAUGGGUCCUUCUUCUGCACUUGUAACAGUGGAUACACUGGAAAUGGAACCAUGUGCAAAGACAUCAAUGAGUGUUCACUAUCGAUUGACAAUUGUGAUCAAAACUCAAACUGUACAAACACUGUUGGAUCCUUCUUUUGCACUUGUAACAGCGGAUAUACAGGAAAUGGAAUUAGGUGCACAGAUAUCAAUGAGUGUUCACUAUCGAUUGAUAAUUGUGAUCGAAACUCAAACUGUACCAACACUAAUGGAUCCUUCUUCUGCACUUGUAAAAGUGGAUACACUGGAAAUGGAGUUAGAUGCACAGACAUCAAUGAGUGUUCACUAACGAUUGACAAUUGUGACCUAAACUCAAACUGUACCAACACUGAUGGAUCCUUCUUCUGCACUUGUAAGAGCGGAUUUACUGGAAAUGGAAUCACGUGUACAGACGUUGAUGAGUGUUCACUAUCGACUGACAAUUGUGAUCGAAACUCAAACUGUACCAACACUAAUGGAUCCUUCUUCUGCACUUGUAACAGUGGAUAUGCUGGAAAUGGGAUCAACUGCACAGACAUCAACGAGUGUUCACUAUCGACUGACAAUUGUGAUCGAAACUCAAACUGUACCAACACUAAUGGAUCCUUCUUCUGUACUUGUAACAUUGGAUAUGCUGGAAAUGGGAUCAACUGCACAGACAUUAACGAGUGCUCACAAUCGAUUGACAAUUGUGAUCGAAACGCAAACUGUACCAACACUGAUGGAUCCUUCUUUUGCACUUGCAACAGUGGAUACACUGGAAAUGGAAUCAUAUGCACAGACAUUGACGAGUGUUCACUAUCGAUUGAUAAUUGUGAUCGAAACUCAAACUGUACCAACACUGAUGGAUCCUUCUUUUGCACUUGCAACAGUGGAUACACUGGAAAUGGAAUUAGCUGCACAGAUAUCAAUGAGUGUUCGCUAUCAACCGACAAUUGUGAUCGAAAUUCAAACUGUAUCAACACUGAUGGAUCCUUCUUCUGCACUUGUAACAGUGGAUAUACUGGAAAUGGAGUUAGGUGCACAGAUAUCAAUGAGUGUUCACUAUCAACCGACAAUUGUGAUCGCAACUCAAACUGUACAAACACUGAUGGAUCCUUCUUUUGCACUUGUAACAGUGGAUAUACUGGAAAUGGAGUUAGGUGCACAGAUAUCAAUGAGUGUUCGCUAUCAACCGACAAUUGUGAUCGAAAUUCAAACUGUACCAACACUGAUGGAUCCUUCUUCUGCACUUGUAACAGUGGAUAUACUGGAAAUGGAGUUAGGUGCACAGAUAUCAAUGAGUGUUCACUAUCAACCGACAAUUGUGAUCGAAACUCAAACUGUACCAACACUGAUGGAUCCUUCUUCUGCACUUGUAACAGUGGAUACACAGGAGAUGGAACUAUGUGCACAGACAUGGACGAAUGUUCACUAUCAAUUGACAAUUGUGAUCGAAACUCAAACUGUGCCAACACUAAUGGAUCCUUCUUCUGCACUUGUAACAUUGGAUAUACUGGAAACGGAAUCAUGUGUACAGACAUCCAAGAGUGUUCACUGUCGAUUGACAACUGUGAUCAAAACUCAAAUUGUACCAACACUGAUGGAUCCUUCUUCUGCUCUUGUAACAGUGGAUAUGCUGGAAAUGGAAUUCGGUGCAAAGAUAUUGACGAAUGUUCACUAUCCAUUGAUAAUUGUGAUCGAAACUCAAACUGCACCAACACUGAUGGAUCCUUCUUCUGCACUUGCAAGAGUGGAUAUACUGGAAAUGGAAUUAGGUGCACAGACAUCAACGAGUGUUCAUUAUCGAUUGAUAAUUGUGAUCGAAACUCAAACUGUACCAACACAGAUGGAUCCUUCUUCUGCAGUUGUAACAGUGGAUAUACUGGAGAUGGCAUUAGGUGCACAGAUAUUAACGAGUGUUCACAAUCGAUUGACAAUUGUGAUCGAAACUCAAACUGUACAAACACUGAUGGAUCCUUCUUCUGCACUUGUAAAAGUGGAUAUACUGGAAAUGGAAUUAGGUGCAUAGACAUCAAUGAGUGCUCACUAUCCAUUGACAAUAAUUGUCAUAGAAACUCAGACUGUACCAACACUGAUGGAUCCUUCUUCUGCACUUGUAACAGUGGAUAUACUGGAAAUGGAAUUAGGUGCACAGACAUUGACGAGUGUUUACUAUCGAUUGACAAUUGUGAUCGAAACUCAAACUGUACCAACACUGAUGGGUCCUUCUUCUGCACUUGUAACAGUGGAUAUGCUGGAAAUGGAAUUAGGUGCAAAGACAUUGACGAGUGUUUACUAUCGAUUGACAAUUGUGAUCGAAACUCAAACUGUACCAACACUGAUGGAUCCUUCUUCUGCACAUGUAACAGUGGAUACACUGGAAAUGGAAUCAUGUGCACAGACAUCAAUGAGUGUUCUACAUCGACUGACAAUUGUGAUUUAAACUCAAACUGUACCAACACUAAUGGAUCCUUCCUCUGCACUUGUAAGAGUGGAUACACUGGAAAUGGAAUUAGGUGCACAGAUAUCAACGAAUGUUGGCAAUCCAUUGACAAUUGUGAUCGAAACUCAGAAUGUACAAACACUGAUGGAUCUUUCUUCUGUACUUGUAACAGUGGAUAUACUGGAAAUGGGGUUAUAUGCAAAGACAAAGACGAAUGUGACCAAGGUACUCAUAACUGUCACUUGAAUGCAAAUUGCACCAAUAUUAAUGGAUCAUUCGAGUGCUCCUGCAACAGUGGCUACAGUGGAAAUGGGACAGUGUGCCAAGACAAAAACGAAUGUAUUUCAGAUGCUCAUAACUGUCACCCGGAUGCAAACUGCACCAACACUAACGGCUCAUUCGAGUGCGCCUGCAACAGCGGGUAUAGUGGGAAUGGAACAGAGUGCCAAGAUACUGACGAGUGUACAAAAGAGCCAUGUGAUGAGAAUGCAGAGUGUUUGAACACUGUUGGUACAUUCUAUUGUAAAUGCAAAAAAGGCUAUACUGGAGAUGGGAAAAGCUGUGAAGAUAUUGAUGAGUGUAAUAAGGAAGAGGUGUGCGGUGAAAAUUCAGGGUGUGUGAACACUGCUGGCUCAUCUUAUUGUAAGUGCAACGAGGGCUAUGAAGGAGACGGAAAUAGCUGUGAAGAAAUAACAGAUCCUGAAACGGCAGCUUCAGAAGGACAAGAAAAUCAGAAAGAUAAAUUUCUUAUUAUUGGCAUCGCUGGCGGCGUGGGUGUUUUGAUAAUAAUAGGAUUAGUGUUUUUAUUCCUAAGACGACGCCGGAGUGAAAGGUCUCAGUGCACUUAUGAUAGGAAACAAUCGUAUAUGAACGAGAUGUAUUCACUUGAGUAUACCGACAGCGGUAACCCCAGGUCACCUGAAGAUGAAUUGGACACGAGUGAAGAACGUCGUGAGUCGUUGAGUAGCGAUAAAUUCAAUGAUGAUACUAAGUUUUAAAGACAUUCAGCCGAGUUUACAGCGCGUGGGAUUUAUAUACACUCGUCGGCAGGCAGAACGAAACUUCUGAAGAAAAGCUUGAAUUUUGAAGAGAUGCAUGACCACG
rnacentral:misc_RNA from 1 species